AUACCUACCAGGCAGGGGGAAACACAAGCACAAAGAUGGUUUUCCCGGGGCCAGGCUUAGCCAUUGCACUCGGGAUGUACUGACCCCCGAGAUUUCCCCAAAAGUGCAAAACUCAACUAUCUCAUUUGUGGUCAUGGUGGACUAUGUUCUCACUUUCUCCUG